AGUGAGUUUUGAUUGGGAUGUCCCACCGUCACGUGGUACGUUUGUCCUAUGUAAGAAUUUCUCAUAAUAGUAUCAUAAAAAAGUUGACCUCCAAUGAAUGAAUAUCUAUAAACUUUAACUUUUAUCUGUAGGGAAAAAAAGGAGAGAACGCGCUAGCUCACACACGUGAGAGAAACACUGAAUUCUUCCUCCCUGUCCGGCUGCGAGCCGUUUCACCGUCGUCGGACGGGACUUUGUUGGCCCUAAGUGGGUCUGGAGAGAGCCGGACUCCUCGAUCGACGUUUGUUUCGGAUCGUGGAGAUUUCGGUAGUGGGGUGUGAGGUGAGGUGAGGGGAGAUCGAAGCUACUGUCGGGUUCUGGUGUGUCCCCCGAUGGUCUGGUCGGUGAUGCGAAUUGGUGGCGAGGGUUUGGAGGCUGCGGGGUGGUGCCUUGGCCAUGGUGGUGUGGCUCAAAUCUGAGACAGGGCGAUUCCAUGGCGUAAGGAUGGCAGACUGUUGCUGGGUGAGGCCGUGGUCAUGGCAGCGGGGCUCGGGUCUAAUCAGAUCAGUCCAAUAGAGGUCAAUCUUUCUAGAUCUGCUCUGGGGAUGAUUUGUUUAGCAGGGGCGGCGCGUUUCCAUGGUGCGGUAGGGAGGACAAAAUGAUGAUGGCGACAGUCCGACAGUUCAAGCGAGGUGGUGCAGGCAGUGGUCUGUCAGCGGUGGCAGUGGUGGGGUUGGGCCAGACUUGGCUAGCUUCUUGGGUCUCCCUUGGUUCCUGGGUUGAGGUUUGGGCUUGGGCCCUCCUUUUGGGCUCUGCCUGGGGCUGGUUUCUUUAUAUCUGGUUUUAUUUACUUUAGUUGGUUAGUGUUGUUUCGCCUCCGGCGUGUAAUAAGUCCUUACAUGUAUUUUGUAGGGCUAAUCUGGCUAUAUGACUGUGUGUGCACUUUAAGUGCCUUGUCUGUCCUAGCGAGGCGACGAUCUAUUAUUAAAUGGUCACGUACUCCUAGUGGCAGAAUGAAACUAAGUGUUGUCAGAAUUGUUUUUCGGCGGCAACAUAGUAGGAAAGUUGUGAUUUUGGUAAUUAUGCUUCAUUGUAAUCGAGUUAUCUUUCCGUUAUGUCACCGCCAUGUCAAAGCAAAUGGAGUAGCCAAUAGUGCACUAUUUGCUAAUUGGUGCUUGUUAGAAUACAUGUAUUUUGUAGGGGACUCUUGAUAUCAUUUUGGGACGUGCUCUAGAGAUUAUUGUAAUCAGGGGUUUAGGCUCAAUGUCCCCCCCCCUUGUAUUUUGUAGGGACUCCUAAUUGUUUAAGUGAAAAUGGAAUUGCAGAGAGAAUUGUGUUGUAUUA